rnacentral:tRNA from 1 species
GCCCCUUUAGCACAGUGGUAGUGCGUUGCACUCGUAAUGCAAAGGUCCUGUGUUCAAUCCACAGAGGGGGCA